AUGCGUUUGCUGCACAGUCGCACGUGUGGGGCUGGAUGCUUGCUAGUGUGGGCCGGAUGCUGUUCCAAGCGUUUUCUGAUUCUCACCAGAAGUGACAAGUGGCUCCCAUGUGGCACGGAGACUUGCUUUCGGGUCCCUGCUCGCCAGCCUGCCUUUUUUUGCACGAUAGAAGCUGCAGGGAUAUGCCUGUCACAGAUACUCAUUUUCCCCUCUCUUCUGCAAACUUCCUCCUCUCCAGAUUUUUGCACGAUAAGAAUAGCAGGGAAUUCCUCUACUACAGGAAGAAGGUGGCUGAGAUAAGAAAGGAAGCACAGAAGUCGCAGGCAGCCUCUCAGAAAGUUUCACCCCCAGAGGACGAAGAGGUCAAGAACCUUGCAGAAAAGUUGGCCAGGUUCAUAGCGGACGGGGGUCCCGAGGUGGAAACCAUUGCCCUCCAGAACAACCGUGAGAACCAGGCAUUCAGCUUUCUGUAUGAGCCCAAUAGCCAAGGGUACAAGUACUACCGACAGAAGCUGGAGGAGUUCCGGAAAGCCAAGGCCAGCUCCACAGGCAGCCUCACAGCACCUGAUCCCGGCCUGAAGCGCAAGUCCCCUCCUGAGGCCCUGUCAGGGUCCUUACCCCCAGCC
rnacentral:sRNA from 1 species